GAUCCUGGCUCAGGAUGAACGCUAGCUACAGGCUUAACACAUGCAAGUCGAGGGGAAACGAUAUUGGAAGCUUGCUUCCGAUAGGCGUCGACCGGCGCACGGGUGAGUAACGCGUAUCCAACCUGCCCACCACUUGGGGAUAACCUUGCGAAAGUAAGACUAAUACCCAAUGAUAUCUCUAGAAGACAUCUGAAAGAGAUUAAAGAUUUAUCGGUGAUGGAUGGGGAUGCGUCUGAUUAG
rnacentral:rRNA from 1 species